UACGUAGGGUGCAGGCGUUAAUCGGAAUUACUGGGCGUAAAGCGUGCGUAGGCGGUUUGUAAGACAGGUGUGAAAUCCCCGGGCCUAACCUGGGAACUGCGCUUGUGACUGCAAGGCUUGAGUGUGGCAGAGGGGGGUGGAAUUCCACGUGUAGCAGUGAAAUGCGUAGAGAUGUGGAGGGACACCGAUGGCGAAGGCAGCCCCCUGGGUCAACACUGACGCUCAUGCACGAAAGCGUGGGUAGCAAACAGG
rnacentral:rRNA from 1 species